GCUCCCUCCAGCCUCGCUGUUUUCCUGAUUUCCACAUCAUGACAGCAAUCCUUCAAGAUGCCUGCAAGUGGCAAGGGGGGGAAAUGAGGAGACCUUCCAAUGUCUUCUCUACCAAGUGAAUCUCUGACUCUACAAGUUUCCUUCCCAAGACACUGUGGUCCAGGGCUACCUCCCUUACAGCCUACAUGACAACAUGUGCAAAUUAUUUGUCAGCAUCUAAUUGCAAGAACGGGAGCUGCCUGCCUAGAGGAAACAGGGAGCCUUUAGCCUGCUCCUCCAGGCUCAACAUUUGACAGGGGCAUGACCAUGUCCAGCAUUGCUGAGUAACUGGGAAGAGAAGCCCACUGUUGCUGCACACCCUACGCCAAGCCUUCAAACAGUCCCAGCAGUAAUCAAGGCUCUGAAGGCGUCUACUACAGUGCGUGGAGCAAAAGAGAGACGGCAUCGCCCCCUCGUGGCGCAGGGCCAAGCUCUGCGGUAUUCCGGACGCUGUCCUGGGCUGCCCAGACAGGGGC
rnacentral:lncRNA from 10 species